rnacentral:rRNA from 1 species
UAAACGCUGGCGGCGUGCCUUAAGCAUGCAAGUCGCACGCCCCUUCGGGGGAGUGGCGGACGGCUGAGGACAACAGGAGGAACCUACCCCAGGGAGGGGGAUACCCCCGCGAAAGCGGGGUCAAACCCGCGUACGCCUCACAAGGGAAGUACUUGUGAGGGAAAAGGGCAACCUGCCCUGGGAGGGGCUCCUGGCCCAUCAGGUAGUUGGAGUGGUAAGAGCACCCCAAGCCGAUGACGGGUCGCUGGUCUGAGAGGAUGAUCAGCCAGACUGGGACUGAGAACGGCCCAGACUCCUACGGGAGGCAGCAGCUAGGAAUCUUGCGCAAUGGGCGAAAGCCUGACGCAGCGACGCCGCGUGGGGGAAGAAGGUCUUCGGAUUGUAAACCCCUUUUGUCGGGGACGAGCAAGGACGGUACCCGACGAAGAAGCCCCGGCUAACUACGUGCCAGCAGCCGCGGUAAGACGUAGGGGGCGAGCGUUAUCCGGAUUUACUGGGCGUAAAGGGCGCGUAGGCGGAGCGUUUCGCCACCUUUGAAAGGAGCAGGCUUAACCUGUUCAGGGAGGUGGAACGAGCGUUCUAGGGGCAAGCAGAGGAAGGUAGAAUUCCGGGUGGAGUGGUGAAAUGCGUAGAGAUCCGGAGGAACACCAGGGGCGAAGGCGGCCUUCUGGGCUUGACCCGACGCUGAGGCGCGAAAGCGUGGGGAGCGAACUGAAUUAGAUACUCAGGUAGUCCACGCCCUCAACGAUGGACACGAGGCGUGGGGGGUAUCGACCCCCUCCGUGCCGGCGCUAACGCAGGAAGUGUCCCGCCUGGGGAGUACGGCCGCAAGGCUAAAACUUAAAGGAAUUGACGGGGGCCCGCACAAGCAGCGGAGCGUGUGGUUUAAUUCGAUGCAACGCGAAGAACCUUACCAGGGCUCGACGCUCCUGCAUAUUUCUGAAAGGAAAUAGUCCGCAAGGACAGGAGUGCAGAUGCUGCAUGGCUGUCGUCAGCUCGUGCCGUGAGGUGUUGGGUUAAGUCCCGCAACGAGCGCAACCCCCGGGGCCAGUUACCGUGUCUGGCCCGACUGCGGCGACAAACGCCGAGGAAGGUGGGGAUGACGUCAAGUCAGCACGGCUCUGACGCCCUGGGCGACACACACGCUACAAUGGGCGCGACAACGGGAUGCCAAGCCGCAAGGCGGAGCCAAUCCCCCAAAGGCGCCCUCAGUUCAGAUCGGCGUCUGCAACCCGACGCCGUGAAGGCGGAGUUGCUAGUAACCGUGGGUCAGCACACCGCGGUGAAUACGUUCCCGGGCCUUGUACACACCGCCCGUCACGUCAUGAAAGCCCGCAACACCUGAAGUCGCUUUGCGCCGAGGGUGGGGCGGGUGAUUGGGACGAAGUCGUAACAAGGUAACC